GGGUUAGUAGGUUGGUCAUGCCUCUGGUAUGUACUGAUCUCACUGAUUCCUCCUUCCUGAUGAGCCGUAAUGCCAUUAAUUUGGUGUUGCGGGGAAUUUGGACUUUUACCUUGAAAAAAUUAGAGUGUUUAAAGCAGGCACAUGCUUGAAUACAUUAGCAUGGAAUAAUAGAAUAGGACGUGCGGUUCUAUUUUGUUGGUUUCUAGAGUCGCCGUA
rnacentral:rRNA from 1 species